CUAUCGAAUUUUAGUUUAUUUAUAGCAAUUAUAUAAUGAGUGUUUCAGAAAUAGACUAUCUUCGACAAGAAGCAGAAGAUUUAAAGAGACAAAUCAGCGAUGCACGCAAAGUUGCUCAAGAUACAAAUUUUUUAUUGGUUACUCAAAAUGUAGAUCAAAUAAGCAAAAUUCGAAUGCGAACUAGAAAAAAACUGUAGUCAUACUCGAAUAAUUAGUGCAAUACAUUGGCAUGUAUGGCACUAAUUUUUUGAGUGUGAUGUGAUUCAAUUGAAUCUUGUGCAACACUUACUAAUCUCCAUAAGGAGUUUACUAAGUGUUGCACAAGAUAGCAAGCUAAUUGUUUGGAACACCUACUCAAAAAAAAAGGUUUAUGCUUUUUCGUCCGAAAAACAAAUUGUUUUAUGACAUGUGCAUAUGCUCAGUCUGGAGAUUAUGUUGCUUCUGGUAGCGCCGACAAAAUUUGUACAAUUUACAAUUUAAAAACAAAACAACAUAUUAUAAUAACACGGGAGUUGUAUGGACAUACAGGUCAUGUAACUUGUUGCAGAUUUUUAGAUGAUGAUCAAAUUUUAACAAGUUUGCAGAUCUUGUCAAAAUUUGAGCGUCAUCUAAAAAUCUGCAAGAUAAAACUUGUUGUUUGUGGGACAUUCAACUGGACAACUGGAUGUUUUUGCGUCAUACUGACGAUCUUUUUGCAAUGAUAUACGUGACGACUGUUUUCUAAAACUUUUUCUAUAAGCGGACGACUAAAAGAUGUUGAAAUUAAAAGAGCUCACCGCACUGGACGAAAAAAUGAUGGACGACCAAAGACUAUAAUAUUAAAUCUUCAGAAAUAUAAAGAGAAAAUAAGAAUAUUAAAGGAAUUGUAUCGACUCAAAGGCACAAAUACGUUCGUGAACAAAGAUUUUUCUCAAGAAACCAUCGCUAUUCCAAAAUAAUUGUUUGCUGAAGUGAAAGAAAGGCGAUUGAAUGGUGAAAGUGUUACGGUAAGGUUCUUCAGAAGAUGACAAGUCACCUAUUAAAUAACAACGGUCGCCGGUUGACAGGAAAAAAAGCUCACCAAAAAAACGUCGUGAUGAUAGAGAUUUGCUGCGUCGUAAUGACAAACAUACAGUACGCAGUGAUAAUGAUAAAGAGAUUAAACGUCGUGAUAAUAGUGAUUUUUUACGUGACGAGGAAAGAAAUUCUAAAAACCGUUAUAAUAUGACACAUCGUGAUAAACAUAAUAAAGAUUCAUCUCGUCAUAAUAGUGAAAUUGAAAAUAAAAGAACGAAAGAAUAUGAUCAAAAAGUUGAAGAAGUUAACAAAAAAGAAGAUAGAAGUAGAAACUCGUCAAAAAGAAGACACCACGAAGAUGAUUAUCAUGAAAAUAAAAAAAGUAAAAAUGACUCGUCACGAGAUCGCGAAGUAGCAACUGAACUUUUAUAUCAAAGAAGAAAAGGAGAAGACAGAGAUUAUAUUGAUAAAUAUAAGAAAAAUAAGGAUUUAGAGUCACCACGGAGAAGGCGAUCCAGUGACAAACAUUUAACACGAUCACGAUGAACAACUGAUCUGAGCAUGAUUGAAAAAAUAUUACUGCCGCAUUAUUGAAAAGCGCAGCGCCACAAGUCCUUAAAUUUUGAAAAAAUUUGGACAUGAAUAAGAAUGCCGUUAUUUUAAUAAAAAUACACCAUUAAAAGUUA